CACGUGAGCAACCUGCCCCUGACUCUGGGAUAAGCGCUGGAAACGGCGUCUAAUACUGGAUACGAACCACGAAGGCAUCUUCAGUGGUUGGAAAGAAUUUCGGUUGGGGAUGGGCUCGCGGCCUAUCAGCUUGUUGGUGAGGUAAUGGCUCACCAAGGCGUCGACGGGUAGCCGGCCUGAGAGGGUGACCGGCCACACUGGGACUGAGACACGGCCCAGACUCCUACGGGAGGCAGCAGUGGGGAAUAUUGCACAAUGGGCGAAAGCCUGAUGCAGCAACGCCGCGUGAGGGAUGACGGCCUUCGGGUUGUAAACCUCUUUUAGCAGGGAAGAAGCGAAAGUGACGGUACCUGCAGAAAAAGCGCCGGCUAACUACGUGCCAGCAGCCGCGGUAAUACGUAGGGCGCAAGCGUUAUCCGGAAUUAUUGGGCGUAAAGAGCUCGUAGGCGGUUUGUCGCGUCUGCUGUGAAAUCCGGAGGCUCAACCUCCGGCCUGCAGUGGGUACGGGCAGACUAGAGUGCGGUAGGGGAGAUUGGAAUUCCUGGUGUAGCGGUGGAAUGCGCAGAUAUCAGGAGGAACACCGAUGGCGAAGGCAGAUCUCUGGGCCGUAACUGACGCUGAGGAGCGAAAGGGUGGGGAG
rnacentral:rRNA from 1 species